UGACGACCGGCAAACGGGUGCGGAACGCGUACACAACCUUCCUACAAGUGGGGAAUAGCCCAGAGAAAUUUGGAUUAAUACCCCGUAACAUAGCGAUGUGGCAUCACAUUGCUAUUAUAGCUUCGGCGCUUGUUGAUGGGUGUGCGGCUGAUUAGAUAGUUGGCGGGGUAACGGCCCACCAAGUCUACGAUCAGUAGCUGAUGUGAGAGCAUGAUCAGCCACACGGGCACUGAGACACGGCCCAGACUCCUACGGGAGGCAGCAGUGGGGAAUUUUGGACAAUGGGCGCAAGCCUGAUCCAGCAAUGCCGCGUGCAGGAAGAAGGCCUUCGGGUUGUAAACUGCUUUUGU
rnacentral:rRNA from 1 species